GAUGAACGCUGGCGGCGUGCCUAAUACAUGCAAGUCGAGCGAUGAGGCUCCUUCGGGAGUACAUCAGCGGCGAACGGGUGAGUAACACGUGGGUGACUUGCCCCGAAGAUGGGGAUAACCUCUGGAAACGGGGGCUAAUACCCAAUGUGCUCGGUGAUUCGGUUCAUCGAGUAAAGCUCCGGCGCUUCGGGAGAGGCCUGCGGCCCAUCAGCUAGUUGGUAGGGUAACGGCCUACCAAGGCAGAGACGGGUAGGGGGCGUGAGAGCGCGGACCCCCACACUGGCACUGAGAUACGGGCCAGACUCCUACGGGAGGCAGCAGUAAGGGAUAUUGCGCAAUGGACGAAAGUCAGACGCAGCGACGCCGCGUGGGCGAUGAAGGCCUUCGGGUUGUAAAGCCCUUUUAUGGGGGAAGAGAAAAAGGACGGUACCCCAGGAAUAAGUCCCGGCUAACUACGUGCCAGCAGCCGCGGUAAAACGUAGGGGACAAGCGUUAUCCGGAUUCACUGGGCGUAAAGAGCGUUGAGGCGGUUCCGUAAGUUGGGCGUGAAAGCUCCGGGCUUAACUCGGAGAUGUCGUUCAAUACUGCGGGGCUUGAGGACAGCAGAGGAAGGUGGAAUUCCCGGUGUAGUGGUGAAAUGCGUAGAUAUCGGGAGGAACACCCGUGGCGAAGGCGGCCUUCUGGGCUGUUCCUGACGCUGAAGGCGAAAGCUAGGGGAGCGAACGGGAUUAGAUACCCCGGUAGUCCUAGCUGUAAACGAUGGAUGCUGGGUGUGGGGGGUGUAA
rnacentral:rRNA from 1 species